rnacentral:tRNA from 1 species
GGGCCGUUAGCUCAGUUGGUUAGAGCAUCUGCCUUUUAAGCAGGGGGUCCCGGGUUCGAGUCCCGGACGGCCCACCA